AGAGUUUGAUCCUGGCUCAGGACGAACGCUGGCGGCGUGCCUAAUACAUGCAAGUAGAACGCUGAAGGAGGAGCUUGCUUCUCUGGAUGAGUUGCGAACGGGUGAGUAACGCGUAGGUAACCUGCCUGGUAGCGGGGGAUAACUAUUGGAAACGAUAGCUAAUACCGCAUAAGAGUGGAUGUUGCAUGACAUUUGCUUAAAAGGUGCACUUGCAUCACUACCAGAUGGACCUGCGUUGUAUUAGCUAGUUGGUGGGGUAACGGCUCACCAAGGCGACGAUACAUAGCCGACCUGAGAGGGUGAUCGGCCACACUGGGACUGAGUCACGGCCCAGACUCCUACGGGAGGCAGCAGUAGGGAAUCUUCGGCAAUGGACGGAAGUCUGACCGAGCAACGCCGCGUGAGUGAAGAAGGUUUUCGGAUCGUAAAGCUCUGUUGUAAGAGAAGAAUGAGUGUGAGAGUGGAAAGUUCACACUGUGACGGUAUCUUACCAGAAAGGGACGGCUAACUACGUGCCAGCAGCCGCGGUAAUACGUAGGUCCCGAGCGUUGUCCGGAUUUAUUGGGCGUAAAGCGAGCGCAGGCGGUUAGAUAAGUCUGAAGUUAAAGGCUGUGGCUUAACCAUAGUAGGCUUUGGAAACUGUUUAACUUGAGUGCAAGAGGGGAGAGUGGAAUUCCAUGUGUAGCGGUGAAAUGCGUAGAUAUAUGGAGGAACACCGGUGGCGAAAGCGGCUCUCUGGCUUGUAACUGACGCUGAGGCUCGAAAGCGUGGGGAGCAAACAGGAUUAGAUACCCUGGUAGUCCACGCUGUAAACGAUGAGUGCUAGGUGUUAGACCCUUUCCGGGGUUUAGUGCCGUAGCUAACGCAUUAAGCACUCCGCCUGGGGAGUACGACCGCAAGGUUGAAACUCAAAGGAAUUGACGGGGGCCCGCACAAGCGGUGGAGCAUGUGGUUUAAUUCGAAGCAACGCGAAGAACCUUACCAGGUCUUGACAUCCCUCUGACCGCUCUAGAGAUAGAGCUUUCCUUCGGGACAGAGGUGACAGGUGGUGCAUGGUUGUCGUCAGCUCGUGUCGUGAGAUGUUGGGUUAAGUCCCGCAACGAGCGCAACCCCUAUUGUUAGUUGCCAUCAUUUAGUUGGGCACUCUAGCGAGACUGCCGGUAAUAAACCGGAGGAAGGUGGGGAUGACGUCAAAUCAUCAUGCCCCUUAUGACCUGGGCUACACACGUGCUACAAUGGCUGGUACAACGAGUCGCAAGCCGGUGACGGCAAGCUAAUCUCUUAAAGCCAGUCUCAGUUCGGAUUGUAGGCUGCAACUCGCCUACAUGAAGUCGGAAUCGCUAGUAAUCGCGGAUCAGCACGCCGCGGUGAAUACGUUCCCGGGCCUUGUACACACCGCCCGACACACAACGAGAGUUUGUAACACCCGAAGUCGGUGAGGUAACCGUAAGGAGCCAGCCGCCUAAGGUGGGAUAGAUGAUUGGGGUGAAGUCGUAACAAGGUAGCCGUAUCGGAAGGUGCGGCUGGAUCACCU
rnacentral:rRNA from 1 species